UUCGUCCAAGUGAAGCGGAGGACAGUGGCGGACGGGUGAGUAACGCGUGAGGAACCUGCCUUUCAGAGGGGGACAACAGUUGGAAACGACUGCUAAUACCGCAUAAGAUUACAGUACCGCAUGAUACAGUGAUCAAAGGAGCAAUCCGCUGAAAGAUGGCCUCGCGUCUGAUUAGCUAGUUGGUGAGGUAACGGCCCACCAAGGCGACGAUCAGUAGCCGGACUGAGAGGUUGAACGGCCACAUUGGGACUGAGACACGGUCCAAACUCC
rnacentral:rRNA from 1 species